UACGUAGGAGGCGAGCGUUGUCCGGAGUUACUGGGCGUAAAGGGUGCGCAGGCGGCGUCACGCGUGGAUAGUUGAAAUCUCCUGGCUUACCUGGGAGGGUGGUAUCCAGACGGUGGCGCUUGAGGGUCGGAGAGGGGCGUGGAAUUCCGGGUGGAGCGGUGAAAUGCGUAGAGAUCCGGAGGAACACCGACGGCGUAGGCAGCGCCCUGGACGACACCUGACGCUGAGGCACGAAAGCGUGGGGAGCGAACAGG
rnacentral:rRNA from 1 species